rnacentral:misc_RNA from 1 species
UUUGUACUAUACUAUACACUUUUAUAUUUUCAGUUCAAUCUAGGAACAAGGUUUUUUUUUUUUUUAACUUGGACUGCUAAACGCUUCUUGGAUUUGAAAACUUGUUGCUAAAACAAGUCAACAAUGACCAAAUCAGGGAGAAAGAGGAGAGUAUUGGAAGUUUAAUUUUAUCCAUGGUCACUAAGCAUUUCAUUAUAUUUCAAGAGAAUUACUUGACUUUAAUUCGUCACACACAAAUCAUUCAACUGUACUCUGUGUUUAAUAAUAUCACUAUUAUUUAAUUUCAAUGGAUAAUUCAGCCACUUCUCUAGUUGGGCAGCCAAAUCAACAUUUUUUUUUUAAAAUCUAACUGUACAUUC